GUGAGGAAUAUUGGGCAAUGGGCGAAAGCCUGACCCAGCCACGCCGCGUGAGUGAUGAAGGCCUUCGGGUUGUAAAGCUCUGUGGGGAGGGAAGAAAAAGCGCAGGAGUAACUGCCUGUGUGUUGACGGUACCUCCUUAGCAAGCACCGGCUAACUCUGUGCCAGCAGCCGCGGUAAUACAGAGGGUGCAAACGUUGCUCGGAAUUACUGGGCGUAAAGCGCGUGUAGGCUGACAUGCAAGUCGGGUGUGAAAUCCCAGGGCUCAACCUUGGAACUGCACUCGAAACUGCACGUCUUGAGUACUGGAGAGGGAAGCGGAAUUCCGGGUGUAGAGGUGAAAUUCGUAGAUAUCCGGAGGAACACCAGUGGCGAAGGCGGCUUCCUGGACAGUAACUGACGCUGAGACGCGAAAGCGUGGGGAGCAAACAGGAUUAGAUACCCCGGUAGUCC
rnacentral:rRNA from 1 species